rnacentral:rRNA from 1 species
AAUCAACGCUGGCGGCGUGCCUCAGACAUGCAAGUCGAACGAUUAAAGCUCUCUUCGGAGAGUGUAUAGAGUGGCGCACGGGUGAGUAACACGUAAGUAAUCUACCCUCGAGUGGGGAAUAACAACCGGAAACGGUUGCUAAUACCGCAUAAUGCAGCGGCACCGCAAGGUGACAGUUGUUAAAGAUUUAUCGCUUGAGGAGGAGCUUGCGGCAGAUUAGCUAGUUGGUAGGGUAACGGCUUACCAAGGCUACGAUCUGUAACCGGUCUAAGAGGACGGUCGGUCACACUGACACUGAAUAACGGGUCAGACUCCUACGGGAGGCAGCAGUCGGGAAUUUUGGGCAAUGGGCGAAAGCCUGACCCAGCAACGCCGCGUGAAGGAUGAAGUAUUUCGGUAUGUAAAACUUCGAAAGAAUAGGAAGAACUUAAUGACGGUACUAUUUAUAAGGUACCGGCUAACUACGUGCCAGCAGCCGCGGUAAU